rnacentral:rRNA from 1 species
GAUGAACGCUGACAGAAUGCUUAACACAUGCCAGUCUUUGGCGAAGCUGUGCUUGCACAGCCUAGCCAAGGCGGACGGGUGAGUAACGCGUAAGGAACUUGCCCUGCAGUCAGGGAUAACAGACGGAAACGACUGAUAAGACCUGGUAAAGUCAGGCGGACUCAUGUCCAGCCUGAUGAAAAGAGAUGCUGCAGGAGAGCCUUGCGCCCUAUUAGCUUGUUGGUGGGGUAACGGCCCACCAAGGCGAUGAUAGGUAGCCGGCCUGAGAGGGUGGACGGCCACAAGGGGACUGAGAUACGGCCCUUACUCCUACGGGAGGCAGCAGUGGGGAAUAGUGGACAAGGGGGGCAACCCUGAUCCAGCAAUUCUGUGUGCACGAUGGAGGUUUUCGGAGUGUAAAGUGCUUUCAGCAGGGAAGAAAAAAAUGACGGUACCUGCAGAAGAAGCGACGGCUAAAUACGUG